rnacentral:rRNA from 1 species
GAUGAACGCUAGCGGCAGGCUUAACACAUGCAAGUCGAGGGGUAUAGGGAGCUUGCUUCCUAGAGACCGGCGCACGGGUGCGUAACGCGUAUGCAAUCUACCUUUUGCAGAGGGAUAGCCCAGAGAAAUUUGGAUUAAUACCUCAUAGUAUGUGAGAAUGGCAUCAUUUUCACAUUAAAGUCACAACGGCAAAAGAUGAGCAUGCGUCCCAUUAGCUUGUUGGUAAGGUAACGGCUUACCAAGGCAACGAUGGGUAGGGUCCUGAGAGGGAGAUCCCCCACACUGGUACUGAGACACGGACCAGACUCCUACGGGAGGCAGCAGUGAGGAAUAUUGGACAAUGGGCGCAAGCCUGAUCCAGCCAUGCCGCGUGCAGGAAGACGGUCCUAUGGAUUGUAAACUGCUUUUAAUACAGGAAGAAACACUCGGACGUGUCCCGAAUUGACGGUACUGUAUGAAUAAGCAUCGG